GCUGGUGUCGAAUGAACUUGUCGAGCCGACCUCGUCUGAUGAGCUCCUCGAUCUCAUCUCGGAGUUGAAUGCAUUCCUCUGUGUCAUGGCCGUGGUCACGAUGUAGAGGCAGAACUUGUUAGGAUUGCGCUUCCUGGGGUGUGUGUGCAUUCUUUCUGGCCUUGGGAGCUACUCCCUGACCUCCAUCAGCAUCUGGGUUUUCGAUGCAUUGAGGGGGGCAUAGCUGCGGAAUCUUUUUGGGGGAGAGCCCCGCCGAACCCUGCAGUCCGAGCUUCUCUGCCUGUG
rnacentral:lncRNA from 1 species